AACGCAUAUUGCGCUCUUUGGUAUUCCGAAGAGCAUGCUUGUUUGAGUAUCAGUAAACACCUCACAAUCAAUUUUUAUUUGUUUAGAGAUUGAAAGUGGAUUUGAGUAAUCCGUACUUUUUGUCAACGCAAAAGGGCCGGUUACUUGAAAUGCAGGUGCAGCUGGAUUUACAACUGAGCUAUAAGCAUAUCUAUUUAGUCUCGUAAAACAGAUUAUUCAUUUUGCUAAAGCUACUCUAAGGUUGAAUCUCCAUAUGGCUGACUGAUGCAGAUUAACAGAAUGGAUUUAAAAACCCCACUUUGUAAACUCGAUCUCAAAUCAAGCAAGACUACCCGCUGAACUUAA
rnacentral:misc_RNA from 1 species